rnacentral:rRNA from 1 species
AUGGCGCGUUGCGGCGUGGAGGUAAUCGCCAGCAGGGGCUGCUCCAGGCUGCUCCUCCCCGGGAUGCAGCCCUCCUCGGCCUCCGCCGCCUCCUCCUCCGUCUCGGCCUCCCGCUCCGCCGCGGCCGCUGCCUCUGCCGCCCGGCGCCCGCCCGACGGGCCCUUCGCCGGCCUGGUCGUCUGCGUCACGGGGCUGUCUAAAGAGGCCAGGAGUCAGGUGAAGGAGGCCGCUGAGAGGCUGGGAGGCGAGUACAGCGGCAGCUUGCACCCCAAAUGCACUCACCUCGUGGUGCAGAGCUUCGCCGGGCGCAAGUUUGAGCACGCUCUCAAGCAUGGUCCCAGGAAUAGCCUUUUUGUUGUCACGCUGGGCUGGUUUGUCGACUGUGUUCGAAGGAACAUGAGGCUGGACGAAUCCUUGUACAGUAUCAAGAACAUUGGGGAAAACGGCCUGCCGCUCGGGGAAUCCAACAGGCUUGUUGGACUUCCUGUUAACGAGAAGUCAUGCCUUCCACCAAUGAUUUUUCAAGACAAAGCAUGCUCAGACACAACACGUAAGCACCAGCUUCAGGCUCAUAGAGAAGAACCUGAACAUGAUGUGUUCGUUUUUACGAAUGAGACGAUCUACAUUGACCCUGGGAUAUCUGGUGAGAUGAAGAAGAAGAUAUCGGAUGCUGCUACGAGUGAAGAUGCAAAAUUAUUGGACCACUGGUUUAUUGGUUGCCAUGCCACAUAUGUUGUGUGUGAGGAUGCUUCUGUCAAGAGAUAUGUUGGUCACUCAGAUAACAUUGUAACACCGUUUUGGAUCUUGAAAACAGUGAAGGAAAAGAACUUGCAGCGCCUGGUCCAUUUGUCUUCAGACCUAGCUAGACAUGUGGCAGUGGUUCUAGAAAAUUUCCACAUAUCUCAAGAGAAUACGAAACUUGGGAGUGUUCCUUCUCUUAACUCCAGCGAACUGCCAACCCGAGGGGAGAUAAAUGAGACUUGUCAGGAGAGGCAAAAAUUUGUCGAGGCAGCGAAAAAGGAUAUUCGAGACCGCCGUGUUCGCCGUAUGCAGUCAUGUGAAGUACCAAUCCAUCCGCUCACACCUGUCACACUUCUGGAUUCAAUCUGCUGGACAAUAUCUGAGCCGGUUUCAUCUGCAAGUAUUUAUAUGGAUUCUUCAUGGUCUGAAGAUGCCGAUGAGCAGCAAAGCACUACCUAUUUUGGUGCAGAUGGGGAUGGAAAGGAUCGAGACCACUCAGCUGAUAAUUUGUCUCGCCCGCUAAGAGAAAGUGAGAGAAGUGAGGUGAUUUUUAAGAACCAUUUCUUUACCAUACUCUUCCCUCUCGAUCGUUUUGGCGAGCUUGGACCUUCUUCAAGGACAUUCUUCAGCAAUGGUGGCUUCACACGCGAACAAGUGUUGGAUCACAUCUACAAUUUCUACCAGGAGAACAUGUCUACCGACGAGAUCAAUGUAGCCCUGCACACGGAUUCACGGCAUGCCGAUCGGCUUCGUUCCCUGUACGCAAGCGCUGAAUGCGCAGAACGAGGCUUUGUAGUAGCAUUCAAAAGAAUAGAUUUUUUGGGAAGCCGGAGAAGUUUCGAGGCACUAAAGCGCCUUAGCAGAGAGAACAAUAGCAAUGUAUAUGAGCUUGUGAUUAGGGCAUGA